rnacentral:misc_RNA from 1 species
UAAUAAUAAUAAUAAUAAUAAUACUCAUUUGCUAGAUCAACUCUAAUGAUGAAAAUUUCCAGAUACUCCCUGAUUUUAGCAGGCUUAAGCAGCAUAAUAGCUAUACAAUUAUACACGUGCGAUAUGACCAUCAUUUUAACACAACUCACUAUUUUCUCACAAAAAGUUGCAUUUCAGAGAGAAACAAGAAACAGUUGUCACAUAAAAACCUUUAAGUAACCAAUUCAUUCUAAACAGUUACUUUACUCCAACUGAGGCCAUCAAAUCUUCAUAUUCAGGAUCAGCCUCCUGCUUUCUUCCCUUUAACAGAUUACCUCCUUGCUGUUGAGGCAUAAUAGGAACAGAAGUAGGCGAAAAUGGAUCAUAAAUUUGCUGCCCUCCAGGACUAGAUGCAAAAGACAGAUUUCUAUUGGAUUGUUGAUUUGAUGCCAUGAAAUUGCCUUGUGGAGUUAUAGGACCUGGAUAACUUUGCCGAACUUGAAGGGGAUUCCCUGGCCUAGGUGGAAAAGGGCCUGACAAAUCAGGCAGUCGGGCAACUGGACUGAAGUUUCGAGCUGGAGGUAUGGUUGGACUUGCAUUUGAAAAUGCUGGAACUCUGGGUGGAACUGAGGAGCCAGUAGAAUUUCCAACAAAAGGGAUAGGGGACAUGUGAGGCUGAGUUUGACCCAUCUGAUUGCUUAUAUGUGAACUUGGAAAUACAUGCAUACCAGGUGGAGGAAUUGAAUUGGGCGCAGCCAACCUGAAAGAUGGUGUUUGAGGUGAUGGUUGCAUCAAUGGUCUGGCAAGUGGAGGAUCCUGAGUCAUAGGCUGAUUGCUUGGCCUGAGAACUGAAUGAGGAGCCGGAUUCUGUGGAUGAUGAGGUUGAAAAGUAAAAUCACCAGGACCUGAAUGCAGCAGUUUUGGAGCAGUUACUGUUGGUCUCGUGAGAGUAGGAUUUGAUACAUUUCCAGAAAAGGAUCCUGCAGUUUCAGACUGCAGAGUUGGUCGUGAUGCGGAUGUCAUUGGCAAAGAAAUUGGCAUGCUUCCAGACAUAGGGGUUAUUAAUGCAUGAGGUACAGGUGCAGAGGAAGAACCCACUUGAGGGGGUGGAACAGAAGGAAAACUCGAGGCUCCACUGGCUUGAUUCAUCAGAACAUUGACUGCGGAAGGAGCAGAUGGAAAUGAUACAGGAGAAACUAUAUUAGCUGCUGGCAUAGUUGAAGGUGGUGCAGAUGGCAGAAAACCUGGUUGCGGAACUACAGGCCGAGGACCCUGCAAAGAACCCAUAGGAGGAACCAUUUGCCCCAUGUUACCAGGACCUAAAGAUGCUGGAAUGGCACCAGAAGCUAGAGGCCAUCCAGAAGAGCUUCCCACAGGUGUCAAUGAUCUGUCAGAUUGUGGUCCUAGUGUAACACUUGAUACAGGCCGGGGCAAUGAUGGCAUUAAUGGUCUAGCAACUGGAGAUAGCAGUGCUGGUGGGGCUUGGUUACCAGUGAAUGAAAGUGAAGCCAAAACAUUAGAGUGAGCAGAUGAAGGCUGAGGCACUGGCAUGGGAAAGUUUCUUGGUGGGUAUGGAUGUGAUAAGACCUGCAUUGGCAGCUGUGGCCUGGAAGGAACAGGAGAUGUGUUUUGAAAAUUUGAAUUGAACCCAGAUGCUGGAAUUGGUCGAGGCCCAAACAAUGAAGGCACAGGAGUAGGAGCCAAAGGUGAUGAGUGUACGGGCAUAAGGUUGUUAUUAAUUGGUGCAGAAGAAUUCUGAGAGGGAAUGAAGCCAGGAGGAUGUAUUGUAGCUUGAGCUGAGACUGCUGGUAAACAUAGUCCUUGGUUUUGAAACUGACCUUGUUGAGGAGUUUGUGCAGCUCCAAAUGCUAAUUGCAUCACUCCAUGCUCACCAUUUCGGACUAUAAAAGGAGAAGACACCUCCUGACUUUCAUUUGGAACAUUCACAUUUUUCCCAGUCGCUAAAUUUCCUGAUACUGAGGUAACUAGCAAUUCAAUUAGGGCAACUGCUUCAUCAACUUUCUCAAAUGUGUCAGCCGAUACAUGAACAUUCAACUCCUCGUAAGCCAAAUGGGUGUCAUUCGUAUCAGAUGGAGAAAUCUCAACCUUCUUUCCUGUAUUAGCUUUGGUAACAAAUGCUUGUAUUUUAGCUCCAGUUUCCUGAUCCAAUAGUAGAAAUGAAUAGAAAUAAUUCAAACACACAUAACAACAAAUAAAACCCCUCCAUCCCUUGUUUACCUACAAGCAGCAACAUAAGAUGGCACCAACCAAACUUACCUUUUCCAAUCGCUUGUGAGUCUCUCCUCCCGGCCCAAAUAUUAGACCAACAAAAUUGUACCCGGGGUGAUCUUUGACCUGCAGAGUCAAUAUAGCUUUUCAUGAUUCUACAAUGUCUAAUUGCAAUUAAAGUUCAAAAGGUUAUAGCUAGGAUAUACACUAAUACAUAAAGGUAGCAGUAGACCGAGCAGAAUAUUGAAAACCCAACCAGCUACUUGCAUUUGGAAGUGUUUAUGGUGGAUUCAUAAUUUCUAGCCUGUUUACCGAAUUCAAUGACCACAAAUCAUCCCAAUCAAGCUUUCAAGCUUACCAAAUCCAAAUUUAAGUAAUUUACUUUUAGUGGCUAUUGCCUGAUUUAUUUGUGGCACAUAUUUCCAAGGAUCGUGACACUAAAAACUAAAAGCAAAUAGGUAUCUAAAGAUCAAAGAAAUCCGCAAUGGAGAAUAAAAGUUAACAGAAAACUUCAACUACAAACCACAGUUCAGGUGUCCUAAAACCAAAUUCUUUAGUUUGAUCUUAAUUCAAUGGUAACUGCUCCUAUUCUAAAGCAAAUAAAUGUCUUUUCUGUAAUAAGUGCAAUUGCAAAAUAUAGAAAAGGUGAGGUAGAAAUCAAGCCAUCCAAACUUAACCUACAGGAAUGGGAACUGUGGCCUCUUUCAGCAAAGGUUCGUAAUCAGGUGGUGCCUUGUAACUUGGAUUCAGUUUGAGUAUCUCACCUGGAAAUUAAAAAGACAUUAAUUUAAAAACAGUGAUCCACAUAUAGCAACUACCAGUCUACCACAGGAAUGGGUACAGCAAGCCUAGCAGCACUCG